rnacentral:misc_RNA from 1 species
CGCCACUCGAAUCCAUUAAAAUAAGCUUUAUCAAUUUGAAAACAGAAUCCACAUCAAGCCUACAAAUGUGCAAGCCAUAAAAAUCCCAAAGUCUCGCAAAAAAAAAAGUUUUCCAGAAUUUGAUGGCCUUCAGCAAUCAACAAUUUAUCAUGCAAGGUUAAGCAUCAUAUGCUCAUUCAAGCUUCUUGACUCGUGGAUUUCUCAUUUUCACAUCUCACCGGGAUAAGCUUUUGCUCCUGCUCCUGCUCCUGCUCCUGCUC